CUACGGGGGGCUGCAGUAGGGAAUAUUGGACAAUGGAGGAAACUCUGAUCCAGCCAUCCCGCGUGAAGGAUUAAGGUCCUAUGGAUUGUAAACUUCUUUUCUUUGGGAAUAAAAUCUCCGAUUCCUCGGAGCUUGAAGGUACCAGGGGAAUAAGCACCGGCUAACUCCGUGCCAGCAGCCGCGGUAAUACGGAGGGUGCACGCGUUAUCCGGGUUCACUGGGUUUAAAGGGUGCGUAGGUGGUUUUGUAAGAAAGCCUACAGCUUAACUGUAGAAUUGCCAUUGAUACUGCUUAACUUGAAUCAAGUCGAAGUGGAUGGAAUAGAUCAUGUAGCGGUGAAAUGCUUAGAUAUGAUUUAGAACACCAAUUGCGAAGGCAGUUCACUAGGCUUGUAUUGACACUGAGGCACGAAAGCGUGGGGAUCAAACAGGAUUAGAUACCCGUGUAGUC
rnacentral:rRNA from 1 species